rnacentral:snRNA from 1 species
CCAGUCAACCAUAGAGUCU